CAGCAGCCGCGGGAAUACGAAGGGGGCUAGCGUUGCUCGGAAUGACUGGGCGUAAAGGGCGCGUAGGCGGCGAUCAAAGUCAGGCGUGAAAUUCCUGGGCUCAACCUGGGGGCUGCGUUUGAUACUUGAUUGCUAGAGUGGGGAAGAGGGUCGUGGAAUUCCCAGUGUAGAGGUGGAAUUCGUAGAUAUUGGGAAGAACACCGGUGGCGAAGGCGGCGACCAGGUCCUUGACUGACGCUGAGGCGCGAAAGCGUGGGGAGCAAACAGGAUUAGAUACCCCGGUAGUCCCUGUCUCUUAUAC
rnacentral:rRNA from 1 species